rnacentral:rRNA from 1 species
CCUACGGGAGACAGCAGUGGGGAAUAUUGCACAAUGGGGGAAACCCUGAUGCAGCGACGCCGCGUGAGUGAAGAAGGAAUUCGUGAUGUAAAGCUCUAUCAGCAGGGAAGAAAAUGACGGUACCUGAGUAAGAAGCCCCGGCUAACUACGUGCCAGCAGCCGCGGUAAUACGUAGGGGGCAAGCGUUAUCCGGAUUUACUGGGUGUAAAGGGAGCGUAGACGGCAGUGCAAGUCUGGAGUGAAAGGCGGGGGCUCAACCCCCGGACUGCUCUUGAAACUGUACGGCUGGAGUGCAGGUGAGGUAAGUGGAAUUCCUAGUGUAGCGGUGUAAUGCGUAGAUAUUAGGAGGAACCCCAGUGGCGAAGGCGGCUUACUGUACUGUAACUGACGUUGAGGCUCGACAGCGUGGGGAGCAAACAGGAUUAGAUACCCCGGUAGUC